CUCUCAUCGAGAUGGGCAGAGGGACUGGCCCGACGAAGCCCGGCAACCCCAUUAUUUGGAAGGUGCCAAAUCCUGCAGGUUCGGCCUGAUAGAUGAGUU
rnacentral:ncRNA from 2 species